rnacentral:rRNA from 1 species
CCUACGGGAGGCAGCAGUAGGGAAUCUUCCGCAAUGGACGAAAGUCUGACGGAGCAACGCCGCGUGAGUGAUGAAGGUUUUCGGAUCGUAAAGCUCUGUUGUUAGGGAAGAACAAGUGCAAGAGUAACUGCUUGCACCUUGACGGUACCUAACCAGAAAGCCACGGCUAACUACGUGCCAGCAGCCGCGGUAAUACGUAGGUGGCAAGCGUUGUCCGGAAUUAUUGGGCGUAAAGCGCUCGCAGGCGGUCUUUUAAGUCUGAUGUGAAAGCCCACGGCUUAACCGUGGAGGGUCAUUGGAAACUGGAGGACUUGAGUACAGAAGAGGAGAGUGGAAUUCCACGUGUAGCGGUGAAAUGCGUAGAGAUGUGGAGGAACACCAGUGGCGAAGGCGACUCUCUGGUCUGUAACUGACGCUGAGGAGCGAAAGCGUGGGUAGCGAACAGGAUUAGAUACCCUGGUAGUCCACGCCGUAAACGAUGAGUGCUAAGUGUUAGAGGGUUUCCGCCCUUUAGUGCUGAAGUUAACGCAUUAAGCACUCCGCCUGGGGAGUACGGCCGCAAGGCUGAAACUCAAAUGAAUU